UGUGGAUUCUCCUUUCAUCCUCUUUAUCCCAGUGGGUUUUAAUACAGUUCAUGCAGUAGCUGUGUCCACAGGGAAUAGUCACUGGAUCCUUCAGUAGAUCCAAACAGAUUGAACAAGAAAUUGUUUCUCGGUCCAGCUGAACUCCUUGCUGCGCCAUUUCACCUCGCAGUCACAAUGACUGUCUGAGUUUCACUUCCUUAUAAAUUAAACUAGUUUGAGCUCUGAUCUAAACAGCAUGUGUUUCUGCAGCGAAUGGGGCCUGUCGGCUCUUUCACGUCACCACAUGUUGGUUACACCCAUCCUUCAAACUGUAGAUCUAAAGGGGAGGGAACAAGGAAAUAUGUGGACAGAGUGGAGCUCGCUGUGUUUGAGAGCAGGAAGAAGAGGGAGGAGUUAUCAAACUGUGAUUCAGUCCAGGAAGAGGAGCAGUUUGAGAGGAUAUACUGAAUUACUUCAUAGUGUAACUUGAACACUGCUUUCUUAAAUCCCUCACUGUCUGGUCAGAGCAGAAAUGCUGAUAAUGCUUUCAAGCCAAAUGAGAAAGAGUGUAGAGAAGACUAAAAUUACAUUCAAAUAUUUGGCUUGUUGUAAAAACUCACAGAAAUUAGAUCACAGAUUAUUCAGAAAACUAGUCAGACAGAAAAACUCUCCACCAAACAUAAUUAUAAUUAUAAAUGAUAAUUAUGAUAAAGUCAGUACAAUUCCUAAACUUCUUUAUUUUAGAACCAAAUAUGUGAAUGUUGGACCAACCAGGAUUGAUAAAUAUGUGCUUAGGCUUAGUUUUUAAAGUGGCCGCAGUAUCUGAGCACUGUCAUGUAAGAGCCUGAGAGCUUAUGAGGAAAUUAACAUGAGUUGUUUUUGUCAUAAACUGCACAAAUCCCAGAAGUAAUGGUAGAAAAUGUUUAAUAUCCCAAGAGAGAAACCUCACUUCCAGUUCAGACUGCAGAAAUAGCUAUUUACAUCUAACAAUCUGGUCAAAGCCUCUUGAUUGACAGUGUAUAUAACGGACAGAGCUUUCGAGUUUUCUUAAGCAUCUUAAACCUGCAUUCUAUGUAAUGACCAGCAGGUGGCAGCUCCAUUGGCUUCAAUCACACACAGAUACCAUUCAGUCUUAUGGAGAAAUGAGCCGACUGCUCUCUUGAUUUAUGAGCUCAGUCUGUAGUUUCAGUCUUCUUCCAUACAGCAUGAUGUCCAUUUAGUAAACUUCUUUGGCACAGAUCCUGGUGAGGAAGAAAAAGCUCCUUCAAGGUGAGACAGCUAAUGCUGUUAUAGUGUGUUUCUGGCUGUUUAAUGAAUUGUUCGAACAUUUGUAUUUGCAUUUAUAUGCAUUAAGACUUUCAGUCUGUGACUUGGUGACAGUUGAUAGAAGUCACAAAUAGGUUCCUUUAAAUAGAAAAAUGCAUCACGUUAUGCUUAUAAUAGAAGAAAGAAAAUCACAAACAGGUAUGCAGAGUGUCUUUUUAUAUUCAUCGGAUCAAUUGUACUUCCUUUUAUACACUGCAGUCAUCUUAUAUGAGGUCCUGCACUAAUGUAAGACAUCUGGCAUU